CGUGGGGAACCUGCCCCAUAGUCUGGGAUACCACUUGGAAACAGGUGCUAAUACCGGAUAAGAAAGCAGAUCGCAUGAUCAGCUUUUAAAAGGCGGCGUAAGCUGUCGCUAUGGGAUGGCCCCGCGGUGCAUUAGCUAGUUGGUAAGGUAAAGGCUUACCAAGGCGAUGAUGCAUAGCCGAGUUGAGAGACUGAUCGGCCACAUUGGGACUGAGACACGGCCCAAACUCCUACGGGAGGCAGCAGAG
rnacentral:rRNA from 1 species